UACGUAGGGGGCGAGCGUUGUCCGGAAUUACUGGGCGUAAAGAGCGCGUAGGUGGUUUGUCGCGUUGGUCGUGAAAACCGGGGGCUUAACCCUCGGCGUGCGGGCGAUACGGGCAGACUUGAGUACUGCAGGGGAGACUGGAAUUCCUGGUGUAGCGGUGGAAUGCGCAGAUAUCAGGAGGAACACCGGUGGCGAAGGCGGGUCUCUGGGCCGAUACUGACGCUGAGGAGCGAAAGCGUGGGGAGCGAACAGG
rnacentral:rRNA from 1 species